CCUACGGGGCGCAGCAGUCGAGAAUCAUUCACAAUGGGGGAAACCCUGAUGGUGCGACGCCGCGUGGGGGAAUGAAGGUCUUCGGAUUGUAAACCCCUGUCAUGUGGGAGCAAAUUAAAAAGAUAGUACCACAAGAGGAAGAGACGGCUAACUCUGUGCCAGCAGCCGCGGUAAUACAGAGGUCUCAAGCGUUGUUCGGAACCACUGGGCGUAAAGCGUGCGUAGGCUGUUUCGUAAGUCGUGUGUGAAAGGCGCGGGCUCAACCCGCGGCCGGCACAUGAUACUGCGAGACUAGAGUAGUGGAGGGGGAACCGGAAUGCUCGGUGUAGCAGUGAAAUGCGUAGAUAUCGAGAGGAACACUCGUGGCGAAGGCGGGUUCCUGGACAUUAACUGACGCUGAGGCACGAAGGCCAGGGGAGCGAAAGGGAUUAGAUACCCCAAUAGUC
rnacentral:rRNA from 1 species